rnacentral:rRNA from 1 species
GGAAGCCGGGAAUGGAAAGCCCGGUGCAAGCAGGGUACCAGUGCGGAAGGCAAAUCCGCCGCACAAUGGGAAGCUGUGAAGCGGAGCGAAAUAAAGUGGCGAAGUCCGUGAGCCAUGCGUCAAGAAAAGCCGCUAUUGUUUGUACCGUACCCGUACCGUAAACCGACACAGGUGGAUGAGGAGAGAAUCCUAAGGCCGGCGGAAGAAGCAUUGUCAAGGAACUCGGCAAAAUGGCCCCGUAACUUAGGGAUAAGGGGUGCCUGUGGAAACAGGCCGCAGAGAAUAGGCUCAAGCAACUGUUUAGCAAAAACACAGGUCUAUGCGAAACCGAAAGGUGAGGUAUAUGGGCUGACGCCUGCCCGGUGCUGGAAGGUUAAGAGGAGAGGUCAGAGCAAUCGAAGCCUUGAAUUUAAGCCCCAGUAAACGGCGGCCGUAACUAUAACGGUCCUAAGGUAGCGAAAUUCCUUGUCGGGUAAGUUCCGACCCGCACGAAAGGCGUAAUGAUUUGAGCGCUGUCUCGACAAUGCAUCCGGUGAAAUUGAAGUACCAGUGAAGAUGCUGGUUACCCGCGCCAGGACGGAAAGACCCCAUGGAGCUUUACUCCAGUUUGGUACUGGGAUCCGGUAUUGCAUGUACAGGAUAGGUGGGAGGCUGAGAAUGUGCAGCGCCAGCUGCACAGGAGCCGCUGUUGGGAUACCACCCUUGCAGUAUUGGGUUUCUAACCAGCCGCCGUGAACCGGCGGUGGGACAAUGCCAGACGGGGAGUUUGACUGGGGCGGUCGCCUCCGAAAGGGUAUCGGAGGCGCCCAAAGGUUCCCUCAGGAUGGACGGAAACCAUCCAAAGAGUGCAAAGGCAGAAGGGAGCUUGACUGUGACACCGACGGGUGGAACAGGUACGAAAGUAGGGCUUAGUGAUCCGGUGGUAUUAAGUGGGAAUGCCAUCGCUCAACGGAUAAAAGCUACCCUGGGGAUAACAGGCUUAUCACUCCCAAGAGUUCACAUCGACGGAGUGGUUUGGCACCUCGAUGUCGGCUCAUCGCAUCCUGGGGCUGUAGUAGGUCCCAAGGGUUGGGCUGUUCGCCCAUUAAAGCGGUACGCGAGCUGGGUUCAGAACGUCGUGAGACAGUUCGGUCCCUAUCCGGCGUGGGCGUAGGAUAUCUGAAGGGAGCCGUCCUUAGUACGAGAGGACCGGGAUGGACGGACCGCUGGUGUACCGGUUGAGCAGCCAAGCUCAUGGCCGGGUAGCCAAGUCCGGAAGGGAUAAACGCUGAAGGCAUCUAAGCGUGAAGCCCCCCCUAAGAUGAGAUAUCCCAUUCGAAAGAAGUAAGACCCCUUGAAGACGACGAGGUAGAUAGGCUGGAGAUGGAAGUGCAGUAAUGUACGGAGUUGACCAGUACUAAUCGGUCGAGGGCUUGAUC